rnacentral:lncRNA from 1 species
CUAUAACAGUUUUGCUUUAACGUAAUUUGAAAUUACAAAAAUCCUUUGUGUGUCUCAUAAAGAAUGCAACUUUUGAAAUGUCUGCCAUUUCUGUUCUAGUAAGUUGCCAGUACCAAACGUUACACAAUUUUCAUCUGUUGUCUUUGUGGUUAGUAGUCACGGAGUGCCGAAUAGCACAUGAUCAUCAUCUGUUUUCUGUAUGGAUAGGAAUGGAGCACUUCAUGACAGAACAUGUGUUAUCAUCAGGGCUGUGGAAUCGGAGCCAUGGAGCCAGGAAGUUUUGGAGGAGCCGGAGCUAAGCUGAUCGUAUUCAGUGGAGCUGGAGC